rnacentral:pre_miRNA from 1 species
ACCACUGAGCCAUCUCUCCAGCCCUCUCAUUUUUGUUUUUUAAAGCAAUUUUUGGGGCUGGAGGGAUGGCUCGGUGGU